rnacentral:rRNA from 1 species
GCGUGAGCUUAAGCGAAUCCCAAAAAUAAACGUCUCAGUUCGGAUUGUAGUCUGCAACUCGACUACAUGAAGCUGGAAUCGCUAGUAAUCGCGGAUCAGCAUGCCGCGGUGAAUACGUUCCCGGGUCUUGUACACACCGCCCGUCACACCAUGGGAGUCGGAAAUGCCCGAAGCCAGUGACCCAAGCGAAACGCAGGGAGCUGUCGAAGGCAGGUCGGAUAACUGGGGUGAAGUCGUAACAAGGUAUC